rnacentral:rRNA from 1 species
UUGAUGGCGACCGGCGCACGGGUGAGUAACACGUAUCCAACCCUGCCGAUGACUCGGGGAUAGCCUUUCGAAAGAAAGAUUAAUACCCGAUGGCAUAGUUCUUCCGCAUGGUAGAACUAUUAAAGAAUUUCGGUCAUCGAUGGGGAUGCGUUCCAUUAGGUUGUUGGCGGGGUAACGGCCCACCAAGCCUUCGAUGGAUAGGGGUUCUGAGAGGAAGGUCCCCCACAUUGGAACUGAGACACGGUCCAAACUCCUACGGGAGGCAGCAGUGAGGAAUAUUGGUCAAUGGACGAGAGUCUGAACCAGCCAAGUAGCGUGAAGGAUGACUGCCCUAUGGGUUGUAAACUUCUUUUAUACGGGAAUAAAGUGAGGCACGCGUGCCUUUUUGUAUGUACCGUAUGAAUAAGGAUCGGCUAACUCCGUGCCAGCAGCCGCGGUAAUACGGAGGAUCCGAGCGUUAUCCGGAUUUAUUGGGUUUAAAGGGAGCGUAGGCGGACGCUUAAGUCAGUUGUGAAAGUUUGCGGCUCAACCGUAAAAUUGCAGUUGAUACUGGGUGUCUUGAGUACAGUAGAGGCAGGCGGAAUUCGUGGUGUAGCGGUGAAAUGCUUAGAUAUCACGAAGAACUCCGAUUGCGAAGGCAGCCUGCUGGACUGUAACUGACGCUGAUGCUCGAAAGUGUGGGUAUCAAACAGGAUUAGAUACCCUGGUAGUCCACACAGUAAACGAUGAAUACUCGCUGUUUGCGAUAUACAGUAAGCGGCCAAGCGAAAGCGUUAAGUAUUCCACCUGGGGAGUAC